rnacentral:rRNA from 1 species
AUUGAACGCUGGCGGCAGGCCUAACACAUGCAAGUCGAACGGUAACAGGAAACAGCUUGCUGUUUCGCUGACGAGUGGCGGACGGGUGAGUAAUGUCUGGGAAACUGCCUGAUGGAGGGGGAUAACUACUGGAAACGGUAGCUAAUACCGCAUAACGUCGCAAGACCAAAGAGGGGGACCCUCGGGCCUCUUGCCAUCGGAUGUGCCCAGAUGGGAUUAGCUUGUUGGUGGGGUAACGGCUCACCAAGGCGACGAUCCCUAGCUGGUCUGAGAGGAUGACCAGCCACACUGGAACUGAGACACGGUCCAGACUCCUACGGGAGGCAGCAGUGGGGAAUAUUGCACAAUGGGCGCAAGCCUGAUGCAGCCAUGCCGCGUGUAUGAAGAAGGCCUUCGGGUUGUAAAGUACUUUAAGCGGGGAGGAAGGGAGUAAAGUUAAUACCUUUGCUCAUUGACGUUACCCGCAGAAGAAGCACCGGCUAACUCCGUG